CGAGUUUUUAAGCGUUGUCUCGUCAAUAACUAGUGAUCUUGGUUUUUUGUUUUCAGUUGCUGUUCUUUGGGAGUCAUGAGGAUCUUCCUAUAUUCAAGUUUGAGAACCUGACAAGCUUUUCUCUGGAUGGGUGCCGUAUCAACGACGACUUCCUCGGGCUGCGCAAAUACCUGUACAACUCGCCUAACCUGCAGAAGCUCACUUUGCGACAUUGCAAGGUCUCGGAUUUCCAAUCUACAAAGGAGGUGAUGAAAUGCCGCCAAUCAUAUUCCAAGGGCAUGGCGCGUUUCAAGUGCAACAACCUUAGGCUUACUGAAACCAUACACCGAGAUGGUGAUGCUUCUGUCGAUCCGUUUGUCAAGUUUUUCAGGGGCGUGCGGAGGAAUCUGCCAAACAACAAGAUCAAACUCAUUCCGCUCAAGAAGAAGAAAUAAAAGACUGAACUCGCUAUAGUCGAUUAGCGGAAGCGUAUGGCAAUACACUAGGUUUCCUAUCAUUUGCUGAUUUCAGGAAACUAGGUUGCACAUGUGUCAUCAUUUUUACCUUUUUAAUAAAUUCAUCAUGAGUCCUUGGCUUUAAUUGUGUCGGAUGGUUGAGAUCGUUUGGAUUUCAGCAACUCGUAACUUUUAUACUAGUGUAGACUAGGUUCUUGGUUGAAGUGGAAGUGUCACGAUCCCCUCGUCUAUAUAUAUGGAUUUAUUUUUCAUUUGGGAUGGCA